CCUGACAAACCCAAAAGAUCGAAUGGGGAGAUUCAUCGUCAGCUCAUUUUGUAUAUGUAUGAGUUACGAUGCGGGUUACUACUUGUAGUAUUGCCUGCACGUUCUUAUAUAUUUAGUUGCAAGAUGUUGUCGGCGUGCACUUCUCCCCUAGUAGAACGUCGCGACCCGUUAGGUGUCGGUCUACGGCCCAAGUGGUAGUCUUUAAUAUUUAAAAACAUUGAAGACCCUUGGUGUUUUCUGACCGGAUACCCGGCGGUACUCGUACGGUAUUAAGCCGCAUAAUUAUUAUGCGUCCAUGCCCGUCGCAAGCGAGGCCAAUUUCUGGUAGUACGGACCUAGUGCCGUCGCUGGUAUUGGCCAGCUGUUGGUUGUUACGGUGUUCUAGGACUGGCUAAAAAUUAAUUUACCGGUCGGCGAUGAUACUGCUUUGGUA
rnacentral:rRNA from 1 species